rnacentral:rRNA from 1 species
GACGAACACUGGCGGCGUGCUUAACACAUGCAAGUCGAACGGAAAGGCCCUGCUUUUGUGGGGUGCUCGAGUGGCGAACGGGUGAGUAACACGUGAGUAACCUGCCCUUGACUUUGGGAUAACUUCAGGAAACUGGGGCUAAUACCGGAUAGGAGCUCCUGCUGCAUGGUGGGGGUUGGAAAGUUUCGGCGGUUGGGGAUGGACUCGCGGCUUAUCAGCUUGUUGGUGGGGUAGUGGCUUACCAAGGCUUUGACGGGUAGCCGGCCUGAGAGGGUGACCGGCCACAUUGGGACUGAGAUACGGCCCAGACUCCUACGGGAGGCAGCAGUGGGGAAUAUUGCACAGUAGGCGGAAGCCUGAUGCAGCAACGCCGCGUGCGGGAUGACGGCCUUCGGGUUGUAAACCGCUUUCGCCUGUGACGAAGCGUGAGUGACGGUAAUGGGUAAAGAAGCACCGGCUAACUACGUG